UACCAGCACCCCGAGUGGUCGGGACGAUUAUUGGGCCUAAAGCAUCCGUAGCCGGUUCUGCAAGUCUUCCGUUAAAUCCACCUGCUCAACAGAUGGGCUGCGGGAGGAUACUACAGGGCUAGGAGGCGGGAGAGGCAAGCGGUACUCAGUGGGUAGGGGUAAAAUCCUCUGAUCCACUGAAGACCACCAGUGGCGAAGGCGGCUUGCCAGAACGCGCUCGACGGUGAGGGAUGAAAGCUGGGGGGAGCAAACCGG
rnacentral:rRNA from 1 species